UAACGGUUUUCAUAUAGUGGUGAUGAAGGAGAGUCGGACCAAACUGCAGCGUGUCGAUUGCGAUCCAUGUUUAAUAUAACAAAGAAACACGAACUUACAAAAAACAAUAAACGAAACCGAAACAGCCUAUCUGGUGCAAACUAACAAAGAGUACACAUAGGACACUAAGGACAAUCACCCACGACAAACUCAAAGAAUAUGGCUGCCUAAAUAUGGUUCCCAAUCAGAGACAACGAUAAGCACCUGCCUCUGAUUGAGAACCACUCCAGACAGCCAUAGACCUUGCUAGACAACCCACUAAGCUACAAUCCCAAUACCACCACCAAAACCCCAAGACAAACACACCACAAUUACAAAAACCCCAUGCCACACCCUGGCCUGACCAAAUACAUAAAGAUAAACACAAAAUACUUUGACCAGGGCGUGACAGUCAUGCACAAAGUAGAUGUCCCACCCGACUUGCCAAAACUGUAGUUUGUUAUCAAGACAUUUGUGGAGUGGUUGAAAAACGAGUUUUAAUGACUCCAACCUAAGUGUAUGUUAACUUCCGACUUCAACUGUACAUGCAAUCUGUUUUGCUCUAUGACGCUCACAAGCCAGGCAAGAGAAGAUGGAAGGUACAUAGACCCCAGGAAAUCCCAGGACAUAAUGUCUAUAAUACUGUAAGGGGUUCUACAUAGACCCCAGGAAAUCCCAGGACAUAAUGUCUAUAAUACUGUAAGGGGUUCUACAUAGACCCCAGGAAAUCCCAGGACAUAAUGUCUAUAAUACUGUAAGGGGUUCUACAUAGACCCCAGGAAAUCCCAGGACAUAAUGUCUAUAAUACUGUAAGGGGUUCUACAUAGACCCCAGGAAAUCCCAGGACAUAAUGUCUAUAAUACUGUAAGGGGUUCUACAUUUAUUUAUUUCCCACUGAGCAAACUAUUUCUGUACUUACAGGAUUCUUAUACAUUCAUUUUUUAUCCGAUUUUUGCUUGGCGGGCCUUAUUUGUCAAUAAAACUCAUGAAUGCAACUGUUUAUGUCAAUUAUUUAUGUUUUGUGUUCGACUUGUAGCCCUG
ensembl:lncRNA